CUAAUAAGAAAAGUCUGUCAUCUGUACGUGGAAGUGUUAAAGUUGAAAAGUUUCACAUAUAAGGGGAAGUCAGAGUCUGCUAAUCAGGUUCUUACCGACUACCUAGGACAGCAUCAUUAUACCAUUUCACUUUAAAAGAAAAAUAAGUAAGAAAGAUUUCAAACUUAACAUCACUGACAAGGCAACAGUAGAGGGACCAUUUGAAUUCAAGGCAGGGUUCCUCCCUGCCACAUCGGACUCCUGCAGCAGCUUCCAUCUGCUUGAGUUGGUGAAAAUGGCUGAAGACCAUGAACAGAUCAGCUCCUGCCUUUUGUACCUUUCCAGUCCCUCUGUCUAGAGGAUAAGCCUGCUCAGAGAUCUUCAGACAAGAGUCUUAAAGAACCUGUAAUAAGGUCUCAGGGAAAUCUUUCAGUGGGAACAUCCGAAGGACAAAUCAAGGACAAUAUUCACUUUUGAAGCUGUUCAAAGGAAGAUGAUGUUUUAAAACUCCCAUGAGUUAAUUCACCUGACUUUCACAGAAUCUUCCAUCCUGGAAAGAGACCAUGAAAUACCAGUUUUCCUCCUCUUGAGCAAAGGGAAAUUCAAAAUAAUUUCCCACUGCACCACAUACAGACACACACUCAGCUUGUUCUGUUUUCUGCUUAUAUUUUGCUCAGUACCACCUGGGCUAAUAGCAAGCAGAAAGAAAGCAAUAAAUCUCUCUCACUUUGAAG